GGAGGGUACAGCUCAGUGGUAGAAUGUGUGCUUAGCAGGCACAAAGUCCUGGGUUUAAUCCCCAGCACCUCCA
rfam:Camelus ferus unplaced genomic scaffold scaffold1451, whole genome shotgun sequence.